rnacentral:rRNA from 1 species
UUUACGCUGGCGGCGCACAUAAGACAUGCAAGUCGAACGAACUUAAUCGUUAGUUUACUAAUGAAGCGGUUAGUGGCGGACUGGUGUGUAACACGUAAGCAACCUGCCUAUUAGAGGGGAACAACAGUUAGAAAUGACUGCUAAUACCGCGUAUGCCAUAAGUAUCGCAUGAUACAAGUGGGAAAGGAGCAAUCCGCUAAUAGAUGGGCUUGCGUCUGAUUAGAUAGUUGGUGGGGUAACGGCCUACCAAGUCGACGAUCAGUAGCCGAGUUGAGAGACUCUACGGCCACAUUGGGACUGAGAUACGGCCCAGACUCCUACGGGAGGCAGCAGUCGGGAAUAUUGCGCAAUGGAGGAAACUCUGACGCAGUGACGCCGCGUGCAGGAAGAAGGUUUUCGGAUUGUAAACUGCUUUAGACAGGGAAGAAAAAGACAGUACCUGUAGAAUAAGCUCCGGCUAACUACGUGCCAGCAGCCGCGGUAAUACGUAGGGAGCAAGCGUUAUCCGGAUUUAUUGGGUGUAAAGGGUGCGUAGACGGGAAAAUAAGUUAGUUGUGAAAUCCCCAUGCUUAACAUGGGAACUGCAACUAAAACUGUUUUUCUUGAGUGCUGGAGAGGAAAGUGGAAUUCCUAGUGUAGCGGUGAAAUGCGUAGAUAUUAGGAGGAACACCAGUGGCGGAGGCGACUUUCUGGACAGUAACUGACGUUGAGGCACGAAAGUGUGGGGAGCAAACAGGAUUAGAUACCCUGGUAGUCCACACCGUAAACGAUGGAUACUAGGUGUAGGGUGUGAUAAACGCUCUGUGCCGUCGCAAACGCAGUAAGUAUCCCACCUGGGGAGUACGGCCGCAAGGUUGCAACUCAAAGGAAUUGACGG